GCAGUACUAGUAUAGCAUUAUACAGCGAAACUGCGAAUGGCUCAUUAUAUAAGUUAUCGUUUAUUUGAUAGUACCUUACUACUUGGAUAACCGUGGUAAUUCUAGAGCUAAUACAUGCUAAAAAUCCCGACUUCGGAAGGGAUGUAUUUAUUAGAUUAAAAACCAAUGCCCUCUGGGCUCUUUGGUGAUUCAUGAUAACUUCUCGAAUCGCACGGCCUUGCGCCGGCGAUGGUUCAUUCAAAUUUCUUCCCUAUCAACUUUCGAUGUUUGGGUAUUGGCCAAACAUGGUUGCAACGGGUAACGGAGGGUUAGGGCUCGACCCCGGAGAAGGAGCCUGAGAAACGGCUACUACAUCCAAGGAAGGCAGCAGGCGCGCAAAUUACCCAAUCCCGACACGGGGAGGUAGUGACAAUAAAUACUGAUACAGGGCUCUUUUGGGUCUUGUAAUUGGAAUGAGUACAAUUUAAAUCCCUUAACGAGGAACAAUUGGAGGGCAAGUCUGGUGCCAGCAGCCGCGGUAAUUCCAGCUCCAAUAGCGUAUAUUAAAGUUGUUGUGGUUAAAAAGCUCCGUAGUUGAACCUUGGGCCUGGCUGGCCGGUCCGCCUCACCGCGUGUACUGGUCCGGCCGGGCCUUUCCCUCUGUGGAACCUCAUGCCCUUCACUGGGUGUGACGGGGAAACAGGACUUUUACUUUGAAAAAAUUAGAGUGCUCCAGGCAGGCCUAUGCUCGAAUACAUUAGCAUGGAAUAAUGAAAUAGGACGUGUGGUUCUAUUUUGUUGGUUUCUAGGACCGCCGUAAUGAUUAAUAGGGACAGUCGGGGGGCAUCAGUAUUCAAUUGUCAGAGGUGAAAUUCUUGGAUUUAUUGAAGACUAACUACUGCGAAAGCAUUUGCCAAGGAUGUUUUCAUUAAUCAGGAACGAAAGUUAGGGGAUCGAAGACGAUCAGAUACCGUCGUAGUCUUAACCAUAAACUAUGCCGACUAGGGAUCGGACGAUGUUAUU
rnacentral:rRNA from 1 species